UGUAGCACAGCUUCCUGCUCCUGUGAUAGAUGAGGCAAAGCACCUGCGCCUCGCUGAACAUGUGAAAACCACACACAAAGACUCAAGAGCAUGUGCGACCCAGCUGUAGUAAGUGCCAGGCCAGAAGUUGAAUUACCCCUGAAUUUGGAUGGUGUAACAGGGGAAUAUCACUUGUGAAUAAGGAGCCUGGCCAUCCUCAGUCUCCAGUCGUGCACGCUGUCUUCUGACCACGCUGACUUUGGAAGCUGUCACACUCUUCUUCUUCAGGGAGCUCUGAGCAGAACAGAGAUGAGUCCCAAAUGCUACCUGAGGACUCUGCGGCAAAGACUGCGUGUGGAGCACAAACUCAAGCAAAUCCCUGCCCUCCCUUGGAUGAUGUCAGAGCAGGGGUGACGAGGCAUCGGAAGGAAGGCAGUGUCCUCCCGUCCUGUCAGAGUCCUAGUGAAAGGUGAUCAGCUGAAGAUGCAGCCAAGAGAAGGGAUUGAAUGGGCACCUGGGAGAGAUAAGGAACAUGUUCUGGCAUCUGAAGUUUCUUGAAGGAAUUCAUGGAUAAGAAAAGAAGUCUGGGACCACUCUGAUCCAAAACUUCUUUCAUGCCCUUCAUUGUGUCUUUGUU